UGACCUCGGAUCAGGUAGGAAUACCCGCUGAACUUAAGCAUAUCAAUAAGCGGAGGAAAAGAAACCAACAGGGAUUGCCUCAGUAACGGCGAGUGAAGCGGCAACAGCUCAAAUUUGAAAUCUGGCCCCAGGCCCGAGUUGUAAUUUGCAGAGGAUGCUUUUGGCGCGGUGCCUUCCGAGUUCCCUGGAACGGGACGCCAUAGAGGGUGAGAGCCCCGUCUGGUUGGAUACCAAGCCUUUGUAAAGCUCCUUCGACGAGUCGAGUAGUUUGGGAAUGCUGCUCAAAAUGGGAGGUAUAUGUCUUCUAAAGCUAAAUACCGGCCAGAGACCGAUAGCGCACAAGUAGAGUGAUCGAAAGAUGAAAAGCACUUUGAAAAGAGAGUUAAAUAGCACGUGAAAUUGUUAAAAGGGAAGCGUUUAUGACCAGACUUGGGCCGGUUAAUCAUCCAGCGUUCUCGCUGGUGCACUUUGCCGGUCCAGGCCAGCAUCAGUUCGUCGCGGGGGAUAAAGGCGUCGGGAAUGUGGCUCCUCGGAGUGUUAUAGCCCUUCGUGCAAUACCCUGCGGUGGACUGAGGUUCGCGCUCUGCAAGGAUGCUGGCGUAAUGGUCAUCAACGACCCGUCU
rnacentral:rRNA from 1 species